rnacentral:lncRNA from 1 species
AUGAUGGGGACCCAACCUUUCAACUGGGAAAAUAAAAGUAAAUCUUCCCAUAGUCAUAAACUAUUUCUGUUUCCACAGAAGUUGUAUGUCUAUUCCAAAUAUAUUAGGAGCAAUUAUGUAAUUUACUACCAACAGAAUUUAUCUUUCAGAUGUCGCAACAAUGGGUCACCUCCGUUUGUGGUAGGAUACACAGGUGUUUCCUGUUGCCCUGUCCAGGAUGAUGUUAACAUCAACCUCAGAGAAGGCCGUUGGGCCAGCCUGGAGCCAAAUGUUAGCCACUUUGUCUGUAUUGAGGAGGUACUCUUCAUAAUCUAUACCAUUAAGGAACAACAGUUGAACCAGGCUGUCUCUGCUUCCCAAAUGCUGAGGUGGACCCUAACGUGCCCAGCAUAUGCUGUCCUUCGAAGCACACCAGCUCUUCCAAAAUCAAACCACCCUACUGAACAGAGCAGCUGUGUCUCCAUAAUCCCAGCCUUCGGCAAGUGGAGGCAGGAGGAUGAGGUCAUGGUGACCCUCAGCAACCUACAGAAUUUAAAGCCAAGCCUGAACAACACGAGACAAAACAAAACAAAGGUACAAAGCAAGUCGGGGAAAAGCUGUAGUAAAUGAAAAUAGGACAUUAAUACACACAUAUUAAGCAAUAGGACAAGGUCACGGGAAUAUUUUCCAGUUCUUUUUAAUGUUUCUCUGUGUGUGUGUGUGUGUGUGUGUGUGUGUGUGUGUGUGUGUGUGUGUGUGUGUGUGUGUUUACAUGGGCCAUGGCACGGAUGUGGAGGUCAGAGGGCAACUUUAAGGAGUCAUUUUUAUCCCACCACAUGGGGAUCACAUUCAGGUGGUGAGGUGCCUUUCCCCGCUGAGCCAUCUCACCAGCUGUCAGCUAGGAAUGUUUCAGCACACUACAAACACUCUUGUUUCAAGAAGGAAGUUCUUUUUACUGGGCCUAGUGGCAUACAUCUUUAACCACAGCACAGAGACAGAGGCAGGCGGAUCUCUAUGAGUUUGAGGCCAGCCUGGUCUACGUAGUGACUUCCAGGUUAGCAGAGCUACAAAAAAAAAAAAAAACAAAAACAAAAAAAACCCAUAUAUAUACUUAUUUUUAAUUACAGAUAAUGGUAUGUGCAGGAGAGUUCAGGUACCCUCAAGGAUCAGAAUCCCCUGGGCCUGGAGUUGCAGGGGAUUGGGAGCUGCCCUGUGUGGGGAUUGGGACAGAAUGAGUCCUCUGCAAGUGUAGUAGGUGCUCCUAACCACUGAGCCAUCUCUCAGUAUAGUUCUUUUCACCUUAACAACUGGACACACCAGCAAGAUGGUCCAGCAACUUGAGUCUAUUCCCCAGAAUCCACACAGCAGGCAGAAAGAGAACCAACCCCUGAAGAGAGAGAGAGAGAGAGAGAGAGAGAGAGCGAGAGAGCGAGAGAGAGAGAGAGAGAGAGGUUUACAAAAGGAAUAAAACAACUGGAAGAUACCAAAUUCUAGCAGGUGGUUUAAGUCUCAUUGCCUCUCCCAAUGCUAGGUGACUUGUGCAUUCCUGUAUUUUGUUAGCAGUCUACCUCAGAGCUCCUCAGUUUCACACUCUAUGCUUCCCCAGUUACUCAGUCCUUCCUGUCUUUCCUGACCUCAUCACUCUGGAAGAGUACUGAUCUUAAUUUGGUAGAAUGUCUCUUACUUUGGUUUUUCCCCACUGUUUUUGUGUUUGUUUGUUUGUUUGUUUGUUUGAUUGAUUGAUUGUUUUUAUGAUUAGACGAGGGUUGGAAUAUUCUCUGCAAGAAUCUCAGAUGUAAUGACCUGCAGGUGAUGCCAAUGUAUUACUAAUAACUAUAUCAUUUUCUAGUGCCUCCAUAACAAGUACCACAGAUUUAGCAUCUGAAAGCAACACCCAUUUAUUAUCUCACUUAAUAUCUCAUAUUUUAUUAUUAUCUUCUGGUGGUCAGAACUACGAGUGACUUCUGCACCUACCUAGAAAUCACAAUGCAAAACCUCUGUGGGCUGGACAGCCUUCUCAUCAAGGUUAGGUACCAGUCAAUUCCUUGAGGUUAUAUACUGAAUGGCUGUCCUGUUGGCUGGCAGGUGAGACUCCCUCUAAGCUAUUAGAGUAUAUUUCCAUAUGAUUGUCACAUGACCCCCAUCUACAAAGUCAUUGACCCCCACUGCAAACAGUCCUCACACUUUCUCUGCUUCUAGACUCAAGUUCACAAUGUAGCAUAAAGUUGGGCAUGUGGCCCACUCCUGUAAUCCCAUCACCCGGAAGGAAGCCUGAAGUUAGGCACUGCCGCAAAUCUGAGUCCAACCCAGAGUAUGAGCUGAGACCACAGUGUGAGACCUAUUUCAAAGAAAGGAAGAGGAUGGGGCAAGAAGGGAGGGAGGGAAAAUGGCUGUCUCCUCUAGAGUUGUUUUCACUGGUGGUGUUAAGCCAUGGGCACUGAACUUGAACCCCUGCAGCAGCAGUACGAGCCCCAUGCUUUUAUUUUUCUAAAAAUAAACCUGUUAAUCAUAAAUGGAAAAAACCAAGUUCGUAGUGGAGAAAUCCAGAAAGCAAUAUUUUAACUAGUGGUCAGUGUUAUCAUCAUCACUAGCGAAGUUGGUAAAAUUCUGGUUGCCCACUCCUUCCCAUCCUGCAUAAGGAUGGUGGGUGGCUCACAACCAUCUGUAAUCCCAAUUCAAGAGGAUCUGACACCCAUUUCUGACAUCCUUGGGCACCAGGCAUGUACAUGGUACACACACACAUAUAUAUACAUUCAGGCCAACAUGCACAUUAAGCAAAAUCGCUUUAUUCUAAUUAAGUCACAAAAACACCACACCUGGUUGGAGGAAGCCACUUAAACACCUGUCCAGUCCCAAGCUAUACAUCUUGGUGAACUUCUAUAUACCUACAACGGCCAUUCUGAAGACAAGGGGCUUUGCUUAGGGCUUUACACUUUUUUUUAAGAUUUAUUUAUUUUAUGUGUAUUAGUACACUGUAGCUGUCUUCAUGCACAUCAGAAGAAGGCAUCAGAUCCCAUUACAGAUGCUUGUGAGCCACCAUGUGGUUGCUUGGAUUUGAACUCAGGACCCCUGGAAGAGCAGUCAGUGCUCUUAACCGCUGAGCCAUCACUCUAGCACACGGCUUUACACUUUACUACUAACUACAUUUUGUAUUUAAUCUUGAAGUUGUUGCAUAAUUAAGUUUUUGAGGGAGAUAUUUGUGUCUAUGCAAAUGCUCUAUUUCUCUGCAAUACGUGUCUUUUCUUGUAUGAGCUCACUGUAUGCUAGUUUCUUCUAUGUGCUAAUUACGUGUGCUCUGCUUUGUCAGGGAAUCUUGCUGUAUCCCAGGCUUGCUUUAAUGCUCAGUCUGUUGUCAGCCUACCAAAUCCUGAGAUUAGAAGUAGGUGUCUCUACACCUGGCUUAAGUUACCACAAGCUUAAUUAAUGGCCUAAGCCAACACAAAUGUAUUAGCUUGUCAUUCUGGAAACAAAACUCCAAAAUAGUAUUUACUUGGCUAAAAUUACGAUGUUAGUAAGAGGUGUGGUGACCUCCAUCACACCUUCAUGUAUGACCUACUAUGCACACAGUUUAUCUUGGCACUUGGCAGGAAGCCCUCCUGGUCACAACAGCUAGUCCUAGCUAGUCCAAGCAAACAAUAACAAAAGGUCUUAGGACCGUCCCAUUCCCAGACACAGCAGGAAUACCCCAUAGCCCUCCUUCAGUAGCGUUCCUGUCUUUACCUUGACAGGCGGCAGCAGCAGAUCCUCCAGUCUCCCUCCGACUCUGUUCUAGAUGCCUUCCUCUAAGGACUCUGGUUUGAGGCCCACCUGGACCAUACAGGGUCAUCUCCCCAUUUUAAGACAUUUAAUGUAUUAACAUGUAUAAAAUGUCUUUUGCUGUGCAAGCCUGUUCACAGGUCCAAGCAUGGCACCCUUGAGAGCUGCUAUUCUACUUCCCACAUGAACAUAUUUGGACUAAUGAGAUAAUUGAUCAAUCUAUCAUAAAGCUAUUUUUUCUGUUUUAAGAUGGAGUCCCUGCUAUGUGGCCCAAGCUUGCAAUGUGUCACCAUGCCCUGUAUAGAAAGUGAUAUUGUUGGGGUUGUAGAUUAAACUAGGGAUCCCUACAAUGCUAAGCAAGUACUCUACACUGAGAAUAAGCGCCACACUCUUUUGCUUGUUUCUUUAAAUAGGGUCUCCAGCCCCCUCUAGGGAUGACCUUGACCUCCUAGUCAUCUGUUUCCACCUCCCAAUUGCUAGGAUACUAGGCAUGUGCGGGCAUACCCUGUGUGUGCGGUGCUGGGGACCAGACUCUGGGCUUCAUACACACAAGGCAAACGCUCUGCCAAGCACCAAACAAUUAAUUGUUGUGUUUUGUUUGGAGAGAGGUUCUCACUCUAGUCCAGGCUACACGGGAACUCAUGAUGACCUCAAAUUCACAGUAAUCCUCCUGCCUCAACUAGCCAAGUACUGAAUACACAUAUUAUAC